CUUCGCCUAGUGAGCAUGAUAGUUCAAGAAAUUCCUCUGAGGGUAGGUGAUUCUGGUGGCUUUUCUCGGGACUCGCUAGGCGACCCAUUCUGCUCGCCUAGCGAGCAUGACAACUCAUGAACAAACUUUUGCUCCUUCAAGAUCAACGUUUGACUGACGAAUAGACCCCAUUUGAACCUGUUGGAAGUAUCUCAAGCCAUUCCCUUGUGUUGACUGAUCAUCUAAAUAGAACCCACAAAGUGUCUUGGAUGAUACUCAAGCUUCAAA
rnacentral:lncRNA from 1 species